CCCGCCCGCUUUUCCCGCCCGCCGUCGCCUCCACCCUCGCGCCCCUGCCUCCUCUGUCGCCACGCCCCUCCUCCUCCGCCCCGCGCACUUGCCUCAUCUGCCCUCGAGGGCCACGACCGAAACCGGUGGCGAGGGUGGGCGGAUCCAGCUGCUGGAGGUCGGGACUGCCGGUCCCUGCCCGCUCGCCGGCCCUGCCGCCGCACCGAGGAUUCUCAAGGUCGGGCCCCCGUGGUUGCGCCGUCCCCAACUCGCCCGACGGUUCCCAGCCGUGCCCGUCUGUAUCAGCACGAAUUCUUUUUGCCGGCAACCUCCAUCUUCAUGUCCACGGCCUCCUCCAAUCUUUAAUGUGGUGCUUGAUGGAAUUACCCAUAAAAAGAACUAUUCUUUGCAUUGAUCUACUGCCAGGUUUCAGGGCACAAUUUUUUCAAGAAUUGAAGGGACCAUAAUCUUCGUACAAUAUCUCAAAAAGUAUGCUUGGAUGCUGAGAUUCAGGUGUUAUGAUUAGCUGGUUGCUUGGCAUUUGUAUGCCUGGGUAGGAUGUUGCUCGGCGAGGCAUGUAGCAAGGGCCCUGGACCGGUAAAGAUCCCUUUUUUUAUUUCUACGUCCUUGAUGUAGCAAGGGCCCCUUUUGAUGAGCCUUAUCUCUAUAUUUUGGAUUGCUCUUUUUUUAGAUUAGUUAGUCAGUACCCUCUUAUCAAAAUGGUGGUGAAUGUAGAUAGGCUCACAAUGUUAUUUCUUAUAUGCGUGUUGUCCAUUUAUAUGGCCCUUAGAUUGACAUUAUUCAGAAGUUAUAGAAACACCAUGUUAGUUUAUAGACAUUCCAUUGAAAAAUUGGUUGUUGACUGUCUUACAAAUUAUACAAGAGCAGAUGAGUAUAAUAUCUUUGUGAUGCAGGAAAUAUGACUGAUGUGUUCAGAUUUCAGGCGGAAGGUCGGGAUCCAAUGGAAGGGAGCCCUCCAUCUGGCUCGACCCAGAGGGAGCACAUUAUGGGCAUGAUCUAUCCAUGUGGUGCUGGGAGUACAACAUGAUGCAUCCGUGUCUCCCCUCUGUUGCUUAUAUAGGCUAGGAUUGCACAUGUGACAACGCGGGUUAGCAUAUUUCCCCCUUCUAUUCUUCUGUACGUAUUUUUUUUUUGUUUUUUAUCUCUAUAUGUCCAUCCCUAUAUGCAGUGUACAUUUUGUAAUGAAGGAGAACAAUACAUGAUCGGCCCGAUUUCUCUCCAUUGUUCGUUGCACAUGUUUUUUCAAUGAGUGUGGAUUCUGUUAGACAUUAAAAUACAUGUAUACCAAGAACAUAUUUGGAAACCUUCCCUGCAGUGUAAAAAUUUGAUUAGAUUAUCAAUAUCGGUUAAAUAUUUUAUGUUUUUUGUCCAUACCUUAGAUAUUUACUGAUUUUCCUUGUUUUCCUAAUCGUGCAUGUGUACCAUCACAGUGGGCUUCAAUUAUCCUAUUUCUCACGGUCCGCCCGCACGAGGAGGCAGCCUAUAGGAGGAUGGACAAACCUCCAUCACGAGCAGAGAUUCACCUCAACUUUUUACAUCAGUGGUUCUGCCAGCAUUGACCUUAUGAUAGCAAGCAAACUGGAGGAAAGGAGGCAUGAUGGGAGAAUCUGAUGGGACGGACUAGAGCCAUUCACGCGCCUAAGGUUUAGCAAGCUGCAAGCACUACCCAGGUUUUUGAGGUCUUAAUGAAAUCUUUCUAAUUGCAUUGAGUAAGCUGAGUGUUUUGUGUUUAUUUUGAGUCUGACCGAGAGAUAAGUGCUUUUCAUAGCCUGCUUACAAGGAGAUCCAACAAAGUGUAUUUAAAUGGCUAACAUUUGAUUUUGUAGUUAACUUUAGUGCUGGACUGCUGGUCUCAACAUCUCAAUUACAUCCGCAUCAACGGCUUAUUUAUAAUUAAGAUGUAUGUUGUGUGUGUAAAUGCCAAAAAACCCUAAGGUACAGGUGCUAGAUUCUUUGGGGUGCUGCAUUUGGACGAAAGGACUCGAAACUAUUGUACAUCUUUUUCUAACAUAAAUAUAUGUUUCUCCACUAUUAUUCUGCAUAAUAA